rnacentral:piRNA from 1 species
UGGCUAUUUUUUCGAACCAGU